rnacentral:lncRNA from 1 species
UUUCAUAAAUCAAUAAUAAAUGUGUCACUUACAAAAGCUAAGAGAUCACUGUAUAUAACUACUAAGAAAGUAUUAAAUUCUUAGUGAUUAGGAGCUAACCUUUUAUCCAAAAGUCUUAAUCUUAUUCACAUUAAAAGUUACUAAUGUAAUCGAAAAAAGGAAAUAAAACCAAAGCGAAUAGGGAAUAUGGUAUACGCUGCAUCACUUGAUCUUGCAAGCACAAAAUGAUCAUGCAAGCACAAAACAAAACUUUCUUGGUUAUCUUUAGUAAAAAUGAUUGCUGACUACAUGAAGUAUUGGUCAUCACAUGGCUAACUAUGCAAACUAAACAAAUGUAUACUUAGCUACAUGAAGUAUAUAUUAUGCAUGGCAACAUUCCUCAA